rnacentral:rRNA from 1 species
CCUACGGGAGGCAGCAGUCGAGAAUCAUUCACAAUGGGGGAAACCCUGAUGGUGCGACGCCGCGUGGGUGAAGGAGCGUUUCGGCGCGUAAAGCCCUAUCGGCAGGGAAGAAGAAGGACGGUACCUGACUAAGAAGCCCCGGCUAACUACGUGCCAGCAGCCGCGGUAAUACGUAGGGGGCAAGCGUUAUCCGGAUUUACUGGGUGUAAAGGGGGCGCAGACGGGACUGCAAGUUGGGUGUCAAAUCUACCGGCCCAACCGGUGGCCGCACUCAAAACUGCAGUUCUUGAGUGAAGUAGAGGCAGGCGGAAUUCCUAGUGUAGCGGUGAAAUGCGUAGAUAUUAGGAGGAACACCAGUGGCGAAGGCGGCCUGCUGGGCUUUUACUGACGCUGAGGCUCGAAAGUGUGGGGAGCAAACAGGAUUAGAUACCCGAGUAGUC